CCACCCGUGUCUAUCGUACCUUGUUGCUUCGGCGGGCCCGCCGUUUCGACGGCCGCCGGGGAGGCCUUGCGCCCCCGGGCCCGCGCCCGCCGAAGACCCCAACAUGAACGCUGUUCUGAAAGUAUGCAGUCUGAGUUGAUUAUCGUAAUCAGUUAAAACUUUCAACAACGGAUCUCUUGGUUCCGGCAUCGAUGAAGAACGCAGCGAAAUGCGAUAAGUAAUGUGAAUUGCAGAAUUCAGUGAAUCAUCGAGUCUUUGAACGCACAUUGCGCCCCCUGGUAUUCCGGGGGGCAUGCCUGUCCGAGCGUCAUUGCUGCCCUCAAGCACGGCUUGUGUGUUGGGCCCCCGUCCCCCUCUCCCGGGGGACGGGCCCGAAAGGCAGCGGCGGCACCGCGUCCGGUCCUCGAGCGUAUGGGGCUUUGUCACCUGCUCUGUAGGCCCGGCCGGCGCCAGCCGACACCCAACUUUAUUUUUCUAAGGUUGACCUCGGAUCAGGUAGGGAUACCCGCUGAACUUAAGCAUAUCAAUAG
rnacentral:rRNA from 1 species